GCAAGACAAAUACACCAACAAUUGAGUGGAACUUUUCAGACAUGCUGCAUUUACAAAAGCUCAAAAAAAUAUCCAGUAAUACGUAUACCACUGAGUCCAAUCUUACGUUUAUUGGUUCCCUUGAAGACAAUGGAAAACCUUUGACCUGCAUUGCACAUUUUCUGACUGGAGAAACAUCAAACUCCUCACUUCUUCAGAUAAAAAAAUAUGUACCGGUUGAAGAAGAACUGAACGAGAAAGAUACUUUCCGCGUCCUGGCUGCUGACGUCCCUCGCAGAUUCAAUGCCUUGACUCGGUCCUGUGUGGUCAUCCCCUGCAGUUUCCAGGAUGACGAGGAUCAGCCCCUGACUCGUGGCAUCUGGUACAAAAAA